GGCAAGCCGGCGACGGACUUCGGCAUCCACGGGCUCUGGCCCAACUACGCCGAGUGCAAGACCCGCGGCGAGCUCGACGGCGCCUUGGAGAUGGUGACCAGGCGGAGGAAGAAGUGCUGGCCGGAGUCCUGCAACAGCGAGCGCCUCAAGCUCUGGGAAAUCAGGGACCUGGUGACGGAGCUGGACGCCAACUGGCCGACGCUGGCGUGCAAGGGCGGGAAGAGCUUCGAGUUCUGGACCCACGAGUGGGAGAAGCACGGCACCUGCUCCAACCUGGACCAGCACGGCUACUUCGCGACGGCGCUCGGCUUCAAGGCCCGCCACAACCUCACCAGCAUCCUCGCCGACGCCGGGAUCGUGCCGUCCGACACCGAGACCUACUUCCUCAGCAGCAUCAGGGACGCCAUCAGGGAGGGGACCGGGUUCACGGCGAACCUGGAGUGCAACCGUGGCGUCGACGGCGAGACGCAGCUGUUCCAGGUGUACCAGUGCAUCGACCGCGACGGGGAGAACCUCAUCGACUGCCCGCUGCCGAUGCAGGGCAACUGCAAAGACAGGGUCCAGCUGCCGGCCUUCUGAUUAAAUUUGAGUUCUAAUUGAACAUCCAUUGCCGCCGCCCGUCGGGGUGUGGCGGCUGAUUGGCUCGACGCGGCCGGCCAUCUGCACGGCGCGCGGCUGGAUUACGUGAUGGAUGUACCUUUGUGUUGGUUAUCGGUUCAGUUAAAAUUCCGUCCAGUCCUGAGUUCUGGACAUCGACGUAACGUUUUCUAUCAAUUCCUGAUCUCAACAGGCGAAUAAAGAC
rnacentral:lncRNA from 1 species